rnacentral:sRNA from 1 species
CUAUGUAACCCAGGCUGGCUUCAAACUUGAGAUUCUUCUGCAAUUGCCCCCCAAGUUCUGGGAUUCCAGGCAUGAAUAGCUUAUAUCUAGCCUAUUUAUGUUAUUUUAAAAAUUUAACUUAAAACGAGUUACAGUGUGUACGUGGCGGUGGUGGAGGGGUGCCGUGAGGGUACGUGCAAGCCAGAGAACAGAAGCGGAGGCAAGAGGACAGCGUUUUCCAGACGUGGUUGUCAGAUGUCACGCUCAUUCUCCACCUCAUUCCCUUAGACAGACUCACGAAACCUAGAGCUAGGCCAGCGGCUACCAGGCCCCAGCAACUCGGUUUCCAGCACGCACAGCACUGGGACUAUAGGCAUGUAUGGACUGGCCUUUUACAGGGGUGAUUUGAACUCAUGUCCUCAUGCUGUGUCACUACCUCUUUUGCAGACAGAGCCAUCUCCUUAGCCCUUAGGGUCCCUUAGCUGUCCUUAUCUGUUGUUUUCUAUCAGUUCCCGGAUCCUGUCCAGAACGUCACAUUGCUUUUAGUCAUCCCGUUUCCUUGGUGCCUGUGGAUUCUGACUGUUGUUCACUCACUUAUUUUUAAAACCUUGAUGUUUUCAGUGACUACUUGUCAGUUUUGUAAAAUAAUGGAAGCUGUUCGAUGUAUUUGUCACAAUUAAAUUGAGUUACGGAUUUGGGGAAGACUACAGAAGUAGACAGAUUUUUCUCCAUGUCGUGUCACAGAUAUCGACUUUCAAAAUGGCCCACCACUGUCAGUGUUGAUCUUUAUAACCUGGCCGAGAUAGCGUUUGUCGGACUUUAUUGUCUUCACAAUGACGUUACUCUUGUCUCCUUUCUAGACUAGACUUUUGGAAGUCAGUAUGUAUGCCCAAAGUAAACGACUAGAGUUAGGCUUCACUUCUUUGAGGGAAGCGUGUCUGUAGAUAUGAUUAGAAUAAGAUAUGAUUAGAAUAGGCUGUUUGUCUCUUCCUCAUCAUGUGUGUAUAUCAUGAAUGUAUUGGUCUGUCUACCAUUUGUUUGUUCAGUGUAGCAAUCAUUUAUGUGUGUCAGCAUGGACUCAUGGCUAUGCAUUUUGUAGCUUGGGUUAUAAUUUAACACCUCUUCAUUUCUUGCUUAGAAUGUUCUAGUUUGGCCAUAGAAACUCAUGUAGCUUGUUCUCAGUUCUUUUCACCUACCCCUAUCGUUUUUUGAGGGUGCAGUUUCCUACAUUUGGGCAAAGCUCUAAGUUCAUCAUGUGUUCUGCUGUGUUCUAACAGUUCAUUUGCUUCAGUUCUUGGUAAACAUUUUACUGUAUUCUGUCUUAUGUGGGUUCUCUCUGUAAGUGAUGUGUUUUCGUCUUCGAGUUACUUCAAGAUUUUUUUCUAUGUCUUUGUUUUUUGUUUUAUGAGGAUACAUUGUAAUGUGGCUUGACAUGUAUUUCUCUCUCUCUGUAAUGAAGCCCUUAAUAAGGAAGACAUUUUAUUUAUUUAUUUAUUUAUUUAUUUAUUUAUUUAUUUAUUUAUUACUUGGAGAUAGAGUAUUGCUGUGUAGCCUAGCUCUAGCUGGCAGGGAACUCACAGCUAUCUGCCUGCAUGAGCUACUAUGCCCAGCCUAGAUUUAUUCAUAUUUCUUUGAGGUAGGGUCUCUCCUCGAACCUAGGCCUCACAGUUUGUCACCUAGGCUGGAACCCAGCCAGCCCAGCAAGCCCAGCUGGCAAUGUUCCUGUCUCUGACUGACCCAGAGCUGGGAAUACAGGCAUACAUACAAUGCCUGGCUAUUUAUUUGGGGGCCCCGGAACCAAAUUCCAGGCCUUAUGACUCUGUAGCAGACGCUCUUACCAUCUGACGCAUCUUUCCAGCCUCCAUUGUUUCUGUUUUCUGACACAGGGUCUCCUGUGACUCAGGCUGAUUUCAAACUCACUAGGAAGCCAAGGAUGACUUUGAACUCCUGCUCCUGCUGCCUUUACCUCCUGAGUGCUGGGGUGUGUACCACCAUCACCAGUAAUAGUGUGCUGGGGAGCAAAUCCAUGGCUUUCUUGAAUGCUAGGCAAGCAGUCUAUCAGCUGAACCACUAACCUAAUAACUAGCUCUCUGAUAGUGUCAACUGUAUUCUAGAUGAAGAAACCAAUUGAAACACAAAAUCAUCAACAGAAAGGAUAUUUACUGUAGCAAUAUUAUCACCGGCAAAAUUGGAAACAAGUUAUAAAUAAUGUUCUAUUAACUUGGGCAUUUCCUCAGUGAUUCAGGCUUAGUUAAUCAUAUUUCUUAAUCUAUAGCAUAUUAUUAUUCACCUUCACUUUCCCGUGGCCACAAACAUGUGCUUAAGGUGCUCUGGGAGAACUGUCUUAGUAGAUAAGGGAUAUGUGUAUAUAUCUUAAACUUUAGCAAAUAUUAAAUAUUACCAGAUAAAAGUUACGGAAAAGUUACAGAAGCUCACGUUUCUAUCAAUAGUGUACAAAAGCACCUAUUUCCGUGACUCUUCACCAGUACUGGAUAUUGUAAUUUUUAUUAAUUUUGUGAGAAGCAUCUCAUUAAUGUUUUAUUUGUAUUUCCUUAGAACAGAGUUUUACUUUUUUGACAACUUGACUUUCUUCUGUAAAUUGCCUUGUUUGGAACUGAGCAAUGAACAUUGAAUUCAUGGUGGUUCUGAUAUUACAAGCAGGCCAGAACAGAUUGGUAAAAGGUAAAGCAUGCAAAAAUAUUAAUUUGUCUUUGCUAAAACUUCCCAGGGAUUGUUAAUAA